UGGUGCUGAAGCUAUUCAGGAGCACGUGGGCCCAUCUGGAGCCAGGGAAGCCACAGCCAUCUGUCCAUGAGGGAACAAGGCCCAUUGAAAGCAACCAGAAUGAGAAGGACACGGACAAGACACUCGGCCAGGAGGCUGCGCAUUUGAAAAGCCUCACCAACACAGCGAACCAGGAGGCAAGAAGUUCUGCAAUCAGGGUACUGACAGAGCUGGCUCCCAGAUAAAGCCUCUGAAGGAGAAUCUGUCCACAGCUUUCAUCU